GACAGAGGGUGCGAACGUUGUUCGGAAUUACUGGGCGUAAAGCGCGUGUAGGCGGCAGCGCAAGUCGGGCGUGAAAUCCCACGGCUCAACCGUGGAAGUGCACUCGAAACUGCGCAGCUAGAGUCCUGGAGAGGAAGGUGGAAUGCUUGGUGUAGAGGUGAAAUUCGUAGAUAUCAAGCGGAACACCGGUGGCGAAGGCGGCAUCCUGGACCGGCAUUGACGCUGAGGCGCGAAAGCCAGGGGAGCAAACGGG
rnacentral:rRNA from 1 species